AAAAAAAAAAAAAAAGUUAUGUGACUGUUUUUGUUUUAACCCCAGGUGUGGGAUAUGGGGCUGCUUCAGAUGGGCCACAACCGUUAACUAUGAUUGUCUCGUACUCUAGGAGGGGAGUGAUCUAAAUGGCAGUCUCCAGAGCAGUGGGAGGUGCUUUGAGGAAGAAGAAGUGGGGAGAGGAGGAGGAGGCAGAAGAGAAGGAGGAAGCAGAAGAGGAGGAGGAGGUUUUUGGUUCCUGCUGCUCCUGUUGCUGUUGCUUAAUGAGACGUUGGAGAUGCCCUGUUGUGGAAGAUUGGACUGAUCUCAAGAAACUCAAUGCCCCUAAUGAUCAGGAGUAGUCAAAAAGUGCACACUUGCUCAGGACUUCAUCCACACCCACACAUCACUCCCUACACACCAGUAACCGUGAGAUCCUCACACCACGUGAAGCUAUUAUGCAGGAUGACAUGGUCUUGAACCUACAAAACCAAGCUAGGUAAGCCUCUUCUCUCUUCCCCAUCCCUCGCUCUGGGACAUGGUCUCACCAUGUAACCUUGGCAAG
rnacentral:lncRNA from 1 species